rnacentral:rRNA from 1 species
CCUACGGGAGGCAGCAGUGGGGAAUAUUGCACAAUGGGCGAAAGCCUGACGCAGCGACGCCGCGUGAGUGAUGAAGGGCUUCGGAUCGUAAAGCUCUGUCAGCAGGGAAGAACAGUCACUGUGCUAAUCAGCAGUGAAUUGACGGUACCUUCAAAGGAAGCACCGGCUAACUCCGUGCCAGCAGCCGCGGUAAUACGGAGGGUGCGAGCGUUAGUCGGAAUUACUGGGCGGAAAGCGCUCGUAGGCGGUAGAGCAAGUCAAGGGUGAAAUCCCCGGGCUCAACGUGGGAACUGCAUUUGAAACUGGCAAACUGGAGUGUGUGAGAGGAGAGUGGAAUUCCAGGUGUAGGAGUGAAAUGCGUAGAUAUCUGGAGGAACAUCAGUGGCGAAGGCGACUAUCUGGCACAUAACUGACGCUGAGGAGCGAAAGCGUGGGUAGCAAACAGGAUUAGAUACCCUUGUAGUC